rnacentral:rRNA from 1 species
UGCCAGCCGCCGCGGUAAUACAGAGGGUGCAAACGUUGUUCGGAAUUACUGGGCGUAAAGCGCGUGUAGGCGGCUGUGAAAGUCGGAUGUGAAAGCCCAUGGCUCAACCAUGGAAGUGCAUCCGAAACUUCAUAGCUAGAGUCUCGGAGAGGAAGGUGGAAUGCUUGGUGUAGAGGUGAAAUUCGUAGAUAUCAAGCGGAACACCGGUGGCGAAGGCGGCCUUCUGGACGAUGACUGACGCUGAGACGCGAAAGCGUGGGUAGCAAACAGGAUUAGAUA